GGAGUCGUGGCUGAGCGGCCUAAAGCACCACCCUGCUAAGGUGGAGUCCUCUCUGAGGGGACCGUGGGUUCAAAUCCCACCGGCUCCG
rnacentral:tRNA from 1 species